rnacentral:rRNA from 1 species
UACGGAGGGUGCAAGCGUUAUCCGGAUUCACUGGGUUUAAAGGGUGCGUAGGAGGGCAGGUAAGUCAGUGGUGAAAUCCUAGAGCUUAACUCUAGAACUGCCGUUGAUACUAUCUGUCUUGAAUAUUGUGGAGGUCAGCGGAAUAUGUCAUGUAGCGGUGAAAUGCUUAGAUAUGACAUAGAACACCAAUUGCGAAGGCAGCUGGCUACACGAAUAUUGACACUGAUGCACGAAAGCGUGGGGAUCAAACAGG